rfam:Toxocara canis scaffold166, whole genome shotgun sequence.
GCUUCCGCGGCGCAAUUGGCUAGCGCGUUCGGCUGUUAACCGAAAGGUUGGUGGUUCAACCCCACCCGGGAGCG